rnacentral:lncRNA from 1 species
GAUAACGGUAAGAUGUCGUAAAAACACCAAAAGUAAGCAUUUCAAGCGCCAUGAGACUUUGAUCGAUUUUUAUAUUUUAUACUGUAGUACAUAGUCUCUGUAAAACAAUAAUAGCUGUGGCAAGUAAAAGAGGCCAGACUUUAAAGGAGGCUGUCCAGAGAAUGUCCUUUGCGUUAUUCACUAAUAACCUCUGCUGUAAACUUAACUGGUCUGGUAUUACCAUAAAUGACAAUAAAAGUAA